UACAGAGGGUGCGAGCGUUAAUCGGAAUUACUGGGCGUAAAGGGCGCGUAGGCGGCCACCGCAAGUCGACUGUGAAAUCUCCGGGCUUAACCCGGAAAGGUCAGCCGAUACUGCGGGGCUAGAGUGCAGAAGGGGCAACUGGAAUUCUCGGUGUAGCGGUGAAAUGCGUAGAUAUCGAGAGGAACACCUGCGGCGAAGGCGGGUUGCUGGGCUAACACUGACGCUGAUGCGCGAAAGCUAGGGGAGCGAACGGG
rnacentral:rRNA from 1 species